CGCUGCUUGCGAGCGAAAGGGCAAACCCGUGGCGCCCGCGUGGCAGGCGAGCAUUCUACCACUGAACCAAAAGC